AGCAAAUAUUCGGGUCAGUAAUUAAUCCCAAAUACGUACGUACACAGAGGAAGGCAAAUAAUAUGUUGUGGCUACGGUAGUUCAAAUUCUACUCAAAUUUAUUUACAACUUGGCGGCGAAUGUUGGUUUUUACCUUAUGGGCCAAAAGCGACAUUCUUCAUCAAUUGAUGGGGAGGACGAGGAGCAGUUAUCACUGCACCCACACAAAAUGUUCAAUGACAAGCAAAUGAAAAGACACAAAACGAUGACAGAGAACACAGAGUGAGAGAGAGAGAGAGAGGAGAGAGAAAGGGAGAAAUGAAAGACACAGAGCACAAUGUAUAGAAAGAGCACAAAGUAUAGGGAGCACAACAUGGACGAUAUGGAUGAUAGCGCAUGAUCUUGAGAGCAUGAGGAUUCAAAGAAGCAUGGGACAAGGUCUACACGAGCAUGCAGGCCAGGGCCUCCUUCCCCGCCUCCUACUUACAGCGAGUCCGCGUGACUGCCGUUGUUCACCUCUAGGCUGCUCUGGGUGUUCUUCUUCCGGAUGCCGGGUCGCAGGAAGCUUUCGCCGAAGAGGUCGCGUUCUCGAUGGGCGCCACUCUUCGCCUGCUGCGUGGGCGGAACUGUGUGAGGGUACUUGCCGUCACUGUCAGAGUCCAUCGACAGCUGGCCAAACAGGUCCUCCAGGAGCAUAUUGGCCUUAGCAUUGCGCUGGCGUUUGGCGGAGGUUUUCAGCUUGGAGCUACACGAAAGACAAAGUCACAUGUCGUUUCCGUCUAUUCACAAAAAACUCACCCGAGUAUCUGGUCCAGAUCGUCAGACCUCACCUUGGAUUCCUGCGCGGUCGGACGGGAUCGCGCGGACAACCGAAUGCCGGCUCCAUUGAGUACUCCCUCACCCAACAUGGAUGACGCUUCAUAGGAGGGAUGUUGAUGCUGCUGUUGCUGUGGCUGGCGCACGAUUAAGCUGGGCGGGGCUUGGUUGGCGCUCACCUUAGAGAACACGUUGUAGACCUUGGAAUCAGGGGCCAAGACGGAGUUGCGUGUCACCGGUACAUAGUAGCCACCGUUGGUGCCAGCUGCGCCAACAACGAGCUUGGGAUUGUUUUUGGUAUUCUUGUUGGCCGUGUCGUAGCUCAGCUGGCUUCCAUUCACAUAAAUGGCUCCAGCGUUGCGGGACAUGGUGUUGCUGAAGGAGACAUUCGGGUGGUACAAAUGCUGCUGAGAUCCCUCUGCUGCGGGCAAUCCAAAAAGCUGGGCAAUGUUGCGAUUCAAGUAGAUGUCGUUGAUGGAUUCACCUCCGUUCUGUGGCUGGUGCUGUGUCUGGCGUUGAUCUCCUGUGGGUCCGACCAGGCUGGAAGAAUCUGCCAGGGAUUGCGGGAUCGAUCCUCCCCCAGCAACAGGCAUGCCCAUAUCGUGGCUGGUUAAGAAGCUCAGCUUCGGCUGGUACUUUCUCAGGCUCACGUUCUUCGAGAGACCCUUGCCAUUGCUAAGGUUGUUGUUGUUGUUGCUGUUGCCCUGGUGGAUGAGCUCUGUGACAACUUGGAGCUUCUCCUGCACCGGAAGCACGUGGUUUGACACAGUCUGGGUCUGAGGUAGCAGGAGCUGGCCAGAAGAAGCCGCCGCAUACUUGGAGCUGAGGCGAACAUUCGCCUUGGUGGCCGCCGUUGGCGAGAUUCGUUUGAGGGCGUGAAAGUACGGAUACUUGAGGCUCUGCUGGGCCGUGGGACGCUUGUCGGGAUCGUAGGCGAGCAUAUCUUCGAGCAAAUCGAGUCCGUUUUGGCUGCAGCGGCUGACGACGCUGCUUAGUGGCACUUUGAUACAAUCUGGAUAGCGGAAGUGGAUCAUGGACGCCAGUCGGUAACCAUCUGGCCAGUCACCCUGCAAAGCAAUAACAUAUUUUCAGAUUAUAAUGUUCAGCGGUGUUCAGGUGGUGCACUCACCUUCUCUGGCGUACCCAGCACGGAGCAGAUCUUGAACAGCUGGUCCAUCUCGCUGCUACCCGGAAAGAGCGGUCGGAACGUGUACAGCUCUGCCAUGAUGCAGCCCAUUGCCCACAGGUCGAUGGUGCUGCCGUAGUUAGUGGAGUGCAACAGCACCUCUGGCGCCCGAUACCACCGUGUCGACACAUAGUCCGUGAACGGCGGCCUCGACCUGAUCUCCCUUGCUAAGCCGAAGUCGGCUAUUUUGAUCAGCUCUGGGCCAGAACAGAGAAGAUUUUCCGGCUUCAGAUCGCGAUGGAAGAAGCCAUGACGAUGCAUGAAGGCCAGGCCAGUGAGAACCUAUCAAGGAGAUGAGUAACAGAUGGAAAAAGAUCUCAGUGCUUGCUUCCGGCUCACCUGGAAGAGAAUGCUCUUAAGCUCGGGCUCGGGCAGGUGGGUGUCCCGAUCCUUGAUCAUUUGGUAGAGGUUCUCUUUCAUGUAUUCGAACACAAAGUAGAGGGUGUCGUUCUCUCUAAUCACUUCCUUGAGCUUGACGAUGUUCGGAUGCGACAGUUUCUUCAGGGACUGCAAUUGGGGGCACUCAUUUAGGAGGAAUCGAACUCUAGAAAUUGUUUAGAACCCACCUUAACUUCCCGCAGGUUCAUAGCCUCCUCCCAGGAGUAGUACUUGCGUUUCAUUCUCUUUAUGGCCACCUUCUCGCCGGUGUCCUUGCGCUGGCCCAGCACGACGGUGCCGUAGGUGCCGUCCCCCAGUUGGGUCAGCGUUAUGUAUCGGUUCAUGCUUAUUACAAUAGCACUCUUCAAUUCUUCACAUAGUUUCUGGAUGCACCUGCACAAAGAAAUAAACAAAUGAACGAGUUUCGUUUAUGGGCAAGCAAUAAAGGGUUUUUUAUUAUUUAUACACCUCCGCCCACACGGGCAAACCUCAAGCGAAUCUCAGAGUUUGAAUUAAAUGACAUGCACUAAAAAUGGAAUCGAAUCAAAUCGGCCAUGAGCCCGUUGGCCGGACGUGUGUGCCCGAUUCUCGGAUGCCCCCUAUCCAACUGGAAUCAAUAUAUUGAUCCAGAAGCACCAACCGAUAAGCUUGCCCGAAUUUCAUUUGAUUUAACCGAAAAACAACUCUCCGUCAAGGUCACAGAUAUCAACAUUAGCGGAUGGGAUGAGGAUAGGGCGGUGAGUGGUCAGGGUCGACGGGCUUGUAAUUACAGCCUGUUCGACUUUCAAAGGAAAGUACACACAAGUAAA